rnacentral:tRNA from 1 species
CCCUGUAGCUCCAACAGGAAAGAAUCUGCCUGCAAUGCAGGAGACCUGGGUUUGAUCCCCAGUUCGGGAA